rnacentral:rRNA from 1 species
UACAUGCAAGUCGAGCGAACAGACGAGGAGCUUGCUCCUCUGACGUUAGCGGCGGACGGGUGAGUAACACGUGGAUAACCUACCUAUAAGACUGGGAUAACUUCGGGAAACCGGAGCUAAUACCGGAUAAUAUAUUGAACCGCAUGGUUCAAUAGUGAAAGACGGUUUUGCUGUCACUUAUAGAUGGAUCCGCGCCGCAUUAGCUAGUUGGUAAGGUAACGGCUUACCAAGGCAACGAUGCGUAGCCGACCUGAGAGGGUGAUCGGCCACACUGGAACUGAGACACGGUCCAGACUCCUACGGGAGGCAGCAGUAGGGAAUCUUCCGCAAUGGGCGAAAGCCUGACGGAGCAACGCCGCGUGAGUGAUGAAGGUCUUCGGAUCGUAAAACUCUGUUAUUAGGGAAGAACAAAUGUGUAAGUAACUAUGCACGUCUUGACGGUACCUAAUCAGAAAGCCACGGCUAACUACGUGCCAGCAGCCGCGGUAAUACGUAGGUGGCAAGCGUUAUCCGGAAUUAUUGGGCGUAAAGCGCGCGUAGGCGGUUUUUUAAGUCUGAUGUGAAAGCCCACGGCUCAACCGUGGAGGGUCAUUGGAAACUGGAAAACUUGAGUGCAGAAGAGGAAAGUGGAAUUCCAUGUGUAGCGGUGAAAUGCGCAGAGAUAUGGAGGAACACCAGUGGCGAAGGCGACUUUCUGGUCUGUAACUGACGCUGAUGUGCGAAAGCGUGGGGAUCAAACAGGAUUAGAUACCCUGGUAGUCCACGCCGUAAACGAUGAGUGCU